ensembl:lncRNA
CCACCACAGGCACUUCAAGUCUCUGAGAGGCUAGGCUCUUCCCCUCACACUAAGGAUAGACAAGGCAGCCCAGUUAAAGGAACACAUCCCACAUACAAGCAACAGCUUUUGGGGUGUCUCCAGCUCCAGUUGUUCAGGACCCACAAGAAGACCAAGCUGCACAUCACCUACAUAUGUGCAGGGAGGCCUAGGUCAAACCCAUGUAUGUUCUUUGGUUGGUGAUUCAUAUUCUGAAAGUACCAAGGAUCCAGUUAUUUGGCUCUGUUGGCCUUUGUGUGGAGUUCCUAUUCUCUUCGGGGCCCACAAUUCUUCCUCCCAGUCUUCCCUAAGAGUGCCCAGGCUCCAUGUACUGUUUGUCUAUGGGUGUGUGCAUCUGAGUCAGCUGCUGGGUGGAGCUUCUCAGAAGACAGCCAUGCUAGGCUCCUGUCUACAAGCGUAACAAUGUAUCAUUAAUAGUGCCAGAGAUUGGUGUUUGUUCAUGGGAUGGGUCUCAAUUUGGGCAGGUUAUUGAUUGGCCAUCCCCUCAGUGUCUGCACCAUCUGUGGUGCCUACAUUUCUGGUAGACAGGAUAAAUUUUGGGUUGAAAGUUUCCCUUAUUCCAGGUCUCUAGCUCUGGAAAUACAUCCCUUCUCUCCACCCAUGUCAGUUGCAGAUUUCUAUUCAUUUUGCCAUCUCUCCUGUCACUCCCCACACCUGAUCCUAACUCUCCCCAAUUUACCUCCCCAUACUCUCUCCCUCCCAACUCCCUCCCUUCGUCUGGCUCUUAUGACUAUUUUAUUCCCCCUUCUAAGUGAGAUUCUAGCAUCCUUGCUUGUGCUUUCAUCUUGUUCAACUUCCUUGGGUCUAUGGAGUACAGCAACAACCCUGUUUGAUGGCUAAUAUCCACUUAUCAGUGAGUACAUUCCAUGCAUGUCAUUUUGAGACUGGGUUACCUCACUCAGGAUGAUAUUGACCAACCCUACAUCUGGCAAAGGCCUGAUAUCCAAAAUUUACAAAGAACUCAAGAAGUUAGACAGCAAAAAUCUGAAUAAUCCAAUUUAAAAAAUGAGGUACAAAGCUAAACAAAGAAUUCUCAACAGAGGAAUAGCAAAUGGCCAAGAAACACUUAAAGAAAUGUUUAAAGUCCUUAGUCAUCAGAGAGAUGCAAAUCAAACCAACCUUGUGGUUCUGACUUGUAGCCAUUGGAGUGGCUAAAAUAAAAAACUCAAGGGAUAGCACAUGAUGGCAAGGAUGUGGAGCAAGGGAAAUACUCCUUCAUUGCUGGUGGAAGUGCAAACAUGUUAUGUUUUUACUAACAUAUCUUAAAGUAAAUAAAUUGCUUUUUUUAAGGUAGCAAAGACAAAGAUAAGAAAUUUAUAAUCUUUUCUUUAUGCUUUUAGUUGUUCCAAAAGAAACCAUUGGGAUUCUGAAAGUUGCCUCUGUAUUCACUCCAGAGAGAAAUUUGUUGGCAUGGCAAUAAAACCAAACAGAAAUUGCAAUGCUAUGAUUGUCAAAAACGAGUAAUUCAUAUAGUUUACAGGUAAGAACCUUCUAGGUUUGUUCAACAGUGCUGCUACCCAUGCCCCCAGGAGGUCAUAUUUUACCUCUGUCGAAUUUUGGAACCAGUUCCUCAUUUUGCUUCAUAGAUUUUGAGGCUAUGAACAUUCAAAAUCACUUGUGGCAACUCCUUUAAAACAUACCCCAUGUGUCAGUGUUUUUGCUUUGUCAAGAAUAUUAUUUAUUUUCAUGACUCUAAAGUUUGAAGAUUGAACUUAAGAAUUAGAUCUCUUCUAAGAAUCUAUGAUACCUGGAAAGCUAGAAUAUCAUAUCCACUACCUCAGAAUCUCAACCACUAUGUUCAAUAAUGUCCUCAAAUUGGUUUCGUAUUCUCAAAGGACUAUUUCUUGUACUUCUGCGAAGAAUGUAGGACCCUAAUAAAAAUUCCAUAUAUUCUUUCUGGGAAGUAAAAUAAGUACACCAUAGAACUAAUCAUACACAACUCUAAAAGACAUCAACACCUGGAGGAGGUCCUGAAAGGAACAUAUUACGAUAAGAUGGUUGAAAAGUCAACUGCACAUAGGACAGGUGGGGAGCCUGGAGAACAAAGACACUCAGCAUGAUCUCAAGAUUUAAAAUCAUGGGCCUGAAACAUACUUACUUAUCAAAUGGAACAAAAAGGAAGAUAUUACAAGUAAAUGAAUUGUCCCUAAAAUGAGGCAGUUCUCCCCAUAAAAAUUCCAAUGGCAUUUUUCAUGUACAUAAGAAAAAAAUCCAAAAAUGUAUUUAAAAACAAAAAAGUCUUAAAUAUUCAAAGGAAUUUUUGAGGUAAAAGAAGAAAGCUAGUAACAUGACUUCAAAAUAUGCAACAGAGUCAAACAGCAGGGGAGCCACAUAAGACACAAAAGACCAGUAUAAUAGAGAGCCUAGAAAUAGAUUCACACUUGGACAGCCAACUAAUCUUAUCUAACAGUAGCAAGACUACACAGCCGGAUGGAACUGUGUCCUAGAGGACCCAGAUGCCAUUUCCAGCAUCCACACGGCAGCUAACAAGUGACUUCAACACCAAUUCCAGGUAUUCAGUGCUCUCUUCUGGCUCUGCAGGCACUAAGUGUGCUUGUGAAACACACUCUUGAAGGUAGGCAAAAAUCCAUAUCCAUAAACCAAGAUAAUCUUAAAAAACAACUAAUUUUAUUUUCAAAACUGCCAAAUGGAACCAAAUAGGCAUUUCUGAAGUGAAGAAUUGAAAUGGUUGAAGGUUCUUUGAAGAAAGGUUAGACAUUGAUUAGUUACCAGGGAAUUGCAUAUUCAAGCCACACUUCUUAGAAUGGCUAUAGCAUAAAUAUGAUACAUAACAAAUAUUAGCAAAAAUGUGGAGAAAAGAAAAUCUUUACAUAUAGUUGGUAGAAAUAUGAAUGAAUACAGAUGUUAUAGACAGUUUUGAGAGUCCUCCAAGAUUUUGAACUGGAACUACCAUACGAUCCAACAAACCAACUUCUAGAUAUAACAUAAAUAACUGCAUUCUUAUGAACAUAAUUCACAUGUUCAACAGCCUGAAGUCUCACCAGCAGACGAAUGGAUAAAAUAUUGUAUACUGUGUGUGUGUGUGUGUGUGUGUAUGUGUAUGUGUGUGUGCUUGUCUGUUUAGUAGUUUUAAAAAAGAAAAAAUAUUCUGUCAUUUACAACAAUGGAUAGGCCCAUAAGACACUGUGUUAAGUGAAAUAAUUCAAGCACAGACUAUCAAAUAUUACAUGAAAUCAAUAAUAUAUAUAUAUAAUAUGAAAUAUUCAUCUCAGAGGAGUAGAAUGUUAGUUAACAAGGGCUAUGGUGGCAGAAACGUAGGAAAGAAGUUGGAUAUCAACAUGUAGAAAAUGAUAAACAAGAGAAAUCGUUAAAACUCUAUUGAAGACCAUCACGGCUAUAGUCAAUGGUAAUAUAUUGUGUUACUGAGCAAUGCUGAGGGGAGCUUAAGUGAUCAUCACAGAAGUGGUAACUACAUUAGAUGUGAUUCAGCAUGAUUUAAUUAUUUAACAAUGUACAUUUACAUUGAAACAUUAUGCUCUAUACCACAAAUGUACAUGCUUUCUGGUUUAAUAAUUUUAACUAAAAUUAAAUGUUUAAACACAAAAUAAGACAGCCAUUCUUUCACUGGAAUAUAACCUACUAAAAAUAUUUUAUACAGUGGGAAAAGAGGAAGUCAUCCUAGAAACAAUAAAGACUAGGUAUGUCAAUCAAUGUUAAUAAUACAACACUUGGUGCAUUUCCACCAAGAUCAGAAAUCAUUCUAAAAAGUGCUUAUUAUUGUCACCAUUAUAUGUAAAUUCUAUGGUUUAAAAUGUAUCAGUAGAAAGAAGCAAGACAUAUGAUCACUGGAAAUGUGACAAAAAUAUCAAAGAUAUCUUUUUUUUACUUACACACAGAUGAUAUAAUUUGUAUAUUUAUGUAAAAUACCAUGUAUAUCAAGUUAAGAUCUGCUAAACUUACAAGACUUUAG